UCAAGUGACUAAGUGCAUGUGGCGGAUGCCUUGGCGAUCACAGGCGAAGAAAGACGCGGCAGCCUGCGAAAAGCUGCGGGGAGCUGGCAAACGAGCUUUGAUCCGCAGAUAUCUGAAUGGGGGAACCCACACCGCAAGGUGUAUCCGUAGCUGAAUACAUAGGUUACGGAGGCGAACGAGGAGAACUGAAACAUCUAAGUAUCCUCAGGAAAAGAAAUCAACCGAGAUUCCGGCAGUAGCGGCGAGCGAACCCGGAGGAGCCCAGCUUUUGAUAGUACGAACUUUAGCCGAAAGGUCCUGGAAAGGCCUGCUAUAGUGGGUGAUAGCCCCGUAGGCGAAAGAGUUGGUACGGUACUAAGGAAGCGAGAAGUAGAGCGGGACACGUGGAAUCCUGUUCGAAGACGGGGGGACCAUCCUCCAAGGCUAAAUACUCGUGAUCGACCGAUAGUGAACCAGUACCGUGAGGGAAAGGCGAAAAGAACCCCGGGAGGGGAGUGAAAUAGAACCUGAAACCGCAUGCAUACAAACAGUAGGAGCCUCGUCAGAGGUGACUGCGUACCUUUUGCAUAAUGGGUCAGCGACUUACAUUCUGUGGCGAGCUUAACCGAAUAGGGGAGGCGCAGCGAAAGCGAGUUCGAAAUGAGCGUCCAGUCGCAGGGUGUAGACCCGAAACCAGAUGAGCUAUCCAUGGCCAGGUUGAAGGUGUGGUAACACACACUGGAGGACCGAACCGACUAGUGUUGCAAAAUUAGCGGAUGAGCUGUGGAUAGGGGUGAAAGGCCAAACAAAUCUGGAGAUAGCUGGUUCUCCCCGAAAACUAUUGAGGUAGUGCCUCGUGUGUCGCUCCAGGGGGUAGAGCACUGUUUUGGCUAGGGGGACAUGGAGUCUUACCAAACCAAGGCAAACUCCGAAUACCUGGAAGCGUAAGCACGGGAGACAGAGCACCGGGUGCUAACGUCCGGACUCAAAAGGGAAACAACCCAGACCGCCGGCUAAGGUCCCAAAUAACAGCUAAGUGGAAAACGAAGUGGAAAGGCCGUGACAACCAGGAAGUUGGCUUAGAAGCAGCCAUCCUUCAAAGAAAGCGUAAUAGCUCACUGGUCGAGUCCUUCUGCGCGGAAGAUGUAACGGGGCUAAGCUGUUAACCGAAGCCGCGGAUGCGCUGGUUAUCCAGUGCGUGGUAGGGGAGCGUUCUGUAAGCCUGCGAAGGUGGUUCGAGAGGACUGCUGGAGGUAUCAGAAGUGCGAAUGCUGACAUGAGUAACGUUAAAGCGGGUGAAAAGCCCGCUCGCCGUAAGCCCAAGGUUUCCUGCUCUACGUUCAUCGGAGCAGGGUGAGUCGGCUCCUAAGGUCAGGCCGAAAGGCGUAGCCGAUGGGAAUCAGGUUAAUAUUCCUGAACCUGCGUCAGAUGCGAUGGGGGGACGGAGCAUGGAAGAUCAUCCGGGUGUUGGAAGUCCCGGUUGUUGAGCGUAGGAGGUCUGCAGGCAAAUCCGCAGACGCAUCUCCAAGGCAAAGACACGUGCCGCUACGGCGGCGAAGUGAUCGGAAGUGCUUCCAGGAAAAGCCUCUAAGCUCCAGCUUGCAUGUGACCGUACCGUAAACCGACACUGGUGGGCGAGUUGAAUAUACUCAGGCGCUUGAGAGAACUCGGGAGAAGGAACUCGGCAAAUUGACACCGUAACUUCGGAAGAAGGUGUGCCGUAGUACCGUGAGAGGAGAGACACCUUGAGCGGGAAACGGUCUCAGAGAAUAGGUGGCUGCGACUGUUUAUUAAAAACACAGCACUCUGCAAAGUCGAAAGACGACGUAUAGGGUGUGAUGCCUGCCCGGUGCUGGAAGAUUAAUUGAUGGGGUGAGAGCCCUUGAUCGAAGUCCCAGUAAACGGCGGCCGUAACUAUAACGGUCCUAAGGUAGCGAAAUUCCUUGUCGGGUAAGUUCCGACCUGCACGA
rnacentral:rRNA from 1 species